AUCGCUUCUCGGCCUUUUGGCUCAGAUCAAGUGUAGUAUCUGUUCUUAUCAGUUUAAUAUCUGAUAUGUCCCCCAUCGGGGGACUACAUAUUAAAUGGAUUUUUCGAACAGGGAGUCGGAAAUGGGGCUUGCUCCAUCCGCUCCACGCAUCGACCCGGUAUUGCAGUACCUCCGGGAACGGUGCAACACUU
ensembl:snRNA U2 U2 spliceosomal RNA